CAUCCAGUUCGGGAGAGUGCUUGCAUGGCAUGCAAGAGGUCAGGGGUUCGAGCCCCCUAUGCUCCA
rnacentral:tRNA from 1 species